rnacentral:lncRNA from 1 species
GGACAACAUUCAUUAACGGCGGGAUCACCAAUUCCAAUAUGAACUAGCCCACCAAGAAGAUCUACACAAGCUCCAAGUUUUAGUGUGUCAAUUGGGCAUGUUGCCUUUGUUGUUGUUGGUGGAGGGCAUGGUUUUCCUUUUGGGGAUGGUGUAACUGGAGGAACAGUAAUUGGUGGAACUGUCACUGGCGGAAUUCCUAUAGGUGGCAAGUUGAUAGGAGGUUUUACAAUAGGUGGUAUACCAAUUGGUGGCUUAACAACUGGUGGAACUGUCACCGGUGGAAUUCCGAUAGGUGGCUUAAUAACUGGUGGAAUAAUGGGUGGCAAGUUGAUAGGAGGUUUAAUAACCGGUGGAACUGUCACUGGUGGAAUUCCGAUAGGUGGCUUAAUAACUGGUGGAACAACAGGUGGCAAAUUGAUGGGUGGUUUUACAACUGGUGGAACUGUCACUGGUGGAAUUCCGAUAGGCGGCUUAAUAACUGGUGGAACAACGGGUGGCAAGUUGAUGGGUGGUUUUACAAUCGGUGGAACUGUCACUGGUGGAAUUCCAAUGGGUGGCAAAUUGAUAGGGGGUUUAAUACUUGGAGAGGGAGUUUUGGGCUUUUUGGGUUUGUGAGAGGGUUUUCCACAAUAUCCACAACCAAGAAUGGGAGUGAAUGAAGAAAGGAAAAGCAUGGAAAUGAAAAGAAGACAUGUUAUUUUAGAUGACUCCAUUUUC